ensembl:misc_RNA Metazoa_SRP Metazoan signal recognition particle RNA
GCUGGGCGUGGUGGCUCAUGCCUGUAAUCCCAGCACUUUGGGAGGCUCAGGUGGGCGGAUCACCUGAGGUCAGGAGUUCAAGACCAGCCUGACCAAUAUGGUGAAACCCCAUCUUU